GGAAGGAGAGGCCGUGCUAAAACACAGUCUACGCUGCAACGAAACCUGAGAUCCAUCAUUUGGUUAAUAUUUCAGCAGACACAACCUAGCGGAGUAAUAUUUUUAUCUCCAGUACUUCACUUGAAGUAAACAGACUCCACCAAAGGUCACGCUGCUGCAUGUCCGUACCUCGGAGGGGUGCAGGAGCCGCGAGGCAAUGCAAAGCACACUUUUGGGGUGUGAGUGUUGGUUCUCAAACAAUAUCCUUACGAAAAACCUGUUCCGCCCCGCUGCCAGCUGGCUUGAGGCAAGGCUUCAGCAGAAGCUGUCUUGCUGUUCAUGAGCAUAACCCGGCCCUACAGGGGCGACAGGGGGCCAGGAGCAUUUUAAAUCAUUCAACGAGAUGCCAGAAAACCUGUUCUCCACCGCGUGCCCGGGUCACCCUCGGUGCACAGCGCACGGGCGCGAUGCACACAGGAGAGCGCGUCAUGGCGGGGAGAGGGGCAGGAGGAGGAAGAACGCCAGGGAAAGUUCGCAGCGAGCGGGAACGGGGAAGGAAGGAAGGCGGCAGGGCAGCGCACCCGGGAAACGCGGGCAUACGACGGGAUUAUCGCAGCCGCCAGCUGCUCCUCGCCAGCUCCCGGCAACGCCGACUGCGAAGCCAGCUUAAAGGGAGGAAAACAAUGACACGAGAGCAGGAGAGACAGCCCGGCCACCUGGGAGCAGAGCCACGCACGAAACCUACCGAGACUCCAAAGCAAGGAAGUGUAUCUACACCACCUGCGGGGCGAGUCGGCUGCGAGAAGAUCACUCUCCCGUCUUCACCGGCAAUCCCGGAUGAAAUCUCCUCGCUGUCGGUGCUGUUUCCAUUUGGCUACGCGUGCCCCAAGCCCUGACAGCUCACACGUUGCUGUCGCUGUGUGCGUGGAACAACCCCGCACACACACACUCCGGGCUUGCUGACAGGGGGCUGAAGUGCCGCCUACGCCGGUGGCUUCUGUAACGUGGUACUGCCGCUCCUACAGUCAGGCUGUUCCUCGAGAAUCUCUCUUUUCACUGAGUUCCCAUUCAAAGUUUCUGUCUUUUUGUGAGUCCACAGAAAAUCUAGAAAAGAAAUCCUGCAGCAGCACCUGACUGACAAAAAGAACCCCCCUUCACAAGGUCUCUGCACUCAUGAGGCCUCGUCUGGAAUGCUAAAUCCAGAUGUGGAGUCUUCAGAAUGGAAGAAAGGUGGACCUGUUGGAGCACAUCCAGAGGAGGGCCACAAAAAUGAUCCCAGGGAUGGAACACCUCCCUUCCGAGGACAGGCUGAGAGCUGGGGCUGUUCAGCAUGGAGAAGGGAAGGCUCCAGGGAGACCUGAGAGCGGCCUUUCAGUAUCAGAAGAAGAGCUACAGGAAAGAAGAGGACAGACACUUAAGCAGGGUCUGUCGUGAUAGGACACGGGUUAAGUGGUUUUAAACUAAAGGAGGGGAGACUUAAAUUGGAUAUGAGGAAGAAGUAUUUUACAGUCAGGGUGGUGAGGCACUGGAGGGGGUUGCCCAGAGAGGUGGUGGAUGCCCCAUCCCUGGAGACACCCGAGGUCAGGCUGGAUGGGGCUCUGAGCAACCUGAUCUACCUGUGGGUGUCCCUGUUCAUUGCAGGGGGGUUGGACCAGAUGGCCUUUAAGGAUCCCUUCCAUCUCAAAUAAUUCUAUGAUUCUAAUUCUAUGCCAGGAAAAAAGAACCUCCCUUUAUGUAUGGCAGCAAGCUAACUUCUGAGGUUGGGUUCCUGUUUCUUGAUACAGUGGAAUUGGCAAUCCUGAAAGACUUACAAAACCUGUAUGUGAUUCCUCACAAAGUACACAGUUAAGAGGAACAUCAGUCUUUGAAUGUCUAAAGCAUGCAAACACCACAGCAGGACUGAGCACAGUUACCCAAACACAGCAAUGAGUCUUUCCUGCUGCAAAGUUUUUCUGAUUCCAGGUCCUCUCUAAACAAGCCACACAGAGAAGUAUAAAGUAGGGAAAGAGCAGCUGUGUUCUGCAGUUCCCACUUGAUUCCAGGAAAUGGGACUUGGCAGCUCCAUGCUCUCCAUACCACUCCAUGAGUCACCUGCAGAGGCACUGAAGGCAGAACCAUCGCUGCCUGCUCCUCUUCCUGGUGCAGAGGGUCCAGGAAGUAGGGAAGAGAACAAACUUCUGUGAAAUAAUGGGGUUGUAUAGGGAGAAUGAGAUUAAAGCUGCCUUUGUAUACCUAAACAGGCAUGAAAGUGCAGAUACCAUCCACUUAUCUUGCUUAUCUUGCUAGCAGGAAGCUUGUUUCCAACAAACGUUAAAACCUGGAGGAAUCGGGUUGUGGAGCAGUCACCUCGGUCAUUUGUGGGGGUGGAUGCUUACAGGAGCACUGACAUCUACAGCAACGUUCCCAAACCAUCCAUUACCAAUCACCACUCACAGCCUCCGUAGGUAAGCAGUAGAGGUAAUUUAAAUAGAAAUGUGCUUACCCAAUGAGAUGGAAUAUGACAGAUGUUCAUAAGAAUAGGAAUGGGGGCCUUUUCCAUCCCUGACAAGGACAGGCAGCGCCUCUCUUUCCCCCAUUCCAUCUGGGACAGCAGCCCAAAGACCACCCCUGCUCCAGUUGCCUUUGGCAAAGGGCAGGAGGCAAAGGCAGAAGGUUACUGUGGGCCCAUUCUUUUUGCUUCUUUUUGUUUUUGUCUGGAAAGAGAAUAUUUAACAAGAACCUAAUUAAAAAAAGAAUAAUUAAAAAAAAAAAAAAAGAAACAGAAACUGGAAAGUGAGGCAUGAGGGGAGGAAAGAGAAACCAGAAUCACUGGGAGAUAGAAAGAUGUGGGGAAUUCUGCUUCUGUACCUACAGAGAACCUGUGCUUUAUCACUCCUGGGCCAUCAUUAGGUUGGACUGAAAACAGGCAGCAUUCGAACGAUGUAGUAUGGGAUUUGUAGUUAAGCUUCUGAUACUGGAAUUUCCACUGCCAUUGAAAACAGACACUGCUGUGUCCACAGGUUUCAGGAGAUAAGUACACAAAGCAAGCCUCCUGCUUCUUUCAGUUCUAAGGCACACAUCUACAGUGAGAGGUAGCUGAAUUGUCCCUGGUUUGGGAUCCUAAAAUGUGAGUUUAAUCCACAGUAACGCACAUCACAAGGGAGAAACAAAGGAGAGUGGCGUUGGCCUGUGCUCCUCCCCUCUUCGUGCUGCUGAAAAAGGCAGCCUGAAAGAGAAACAAGAAGUCUCAAGUCAGGAAGCUGCUUCAUUUGCUGCUUAGGUAAAACUAUAGAAAACUUUUUGCAUUAAGGCUAAACUUAGUGCCAUCUAGAAUGCAAUGCAGGCUGGAGGAGCUGAAGAAUAAGUGCAGAGAGUCUUCCAGACCCAACAUUGUUCACAAUCCGGUAGGGACUUUCCUUGGGGUGUGCCUGCUUUUGAAAUAACGUGUCCUUUGUGCCGUAACAAUAUUUUUAUGGUUGCAGUAAAUCUAUAAAUAGAAGCAGUGUAUCUGUGAACAGCAGAACGGCCUCAAAUCUGCUGAGACAGAUCUGGCCUAAAUGUGCCGGGGAGAUUCUGUAAACUUCUGCAUAAAUGAAGAACAUAAGUUUUGCUGUCCAAAAAUUAACUUUGGGCAAACACCCUCAUAUGUGGGAAAAAUAGAAUCUCGAGCAAAAAUGUUAAAAUGUGCUCCUGCCUCCCGGUGAGCUGCGGAGCAUUCAGAACUGGUUAACUUGUUGCUCUCUUGGAGGUCUUGUGCUUUGCUCAUUACAGCUGCCGUGAGCUGCAGCCAGGCCUGAUGCCUUGACACCAGAGAAGACAUGGCCUUUGGCUUGCAGUCCUGGUGGCACCUGCAGCCCAGAUUGGAGGUUGUGCAGUAAUCCCUCCUGGGCGUCCUGUUUUCCACUGUGCUUAGUGCAGAGCUUGCAUCACUACAUACACACUGUCUGUAUUUGUUCCUUAGUCUAGCUGCCAGGGGCUAUCCGAUUUUUAUUCCUUGUUCCUAAUUAUUAUACAUCCUUGAGAGACAUUAUUUGAGUAAACCGAGCAGGAUAAAGAAAUCCACUGUUUAUCAUCCAUCUGAGCCCAAAUCUCCUCAGCCCCAAGCUGUCAUAAUGUAUGGCUUGCAAACUUGCCAUCCAGCUGUUCCAGUUCCUAAUUCAUCAACUACAACACUUGUAAACUCAUGACUGGGAUUAAAGUUGAAAAUGUGAGGACAAAAAGCCUUGUGUAAAGACAAGGUUUCUGGGGUAUUGUGGGUUACCUGGCUUUCAUUUCUCCACGAUCCUCUGUGGAUCAUAAACAGCAAGUAAAGUAAUGUGGAGGAGACUUCUUUCAUCCCACUGAAGGCAUGGGGACUGCUGCCGUGUGCUUCAGAAGAAGUAGAGGCAGCAUUGAGUCCUUCAUUUGGGUUUGGAAGGCAGGGACUCUGUCCUAAAAGCAACCUAAGGACAUAUGGGCUCUUCUGACACGUUCAGUGAGCUAGAUUUUGAUCUCUACCCUCUCAAGAGCUACACUCUGUUUUACAGAUGAGGCUAUAAUUGAAUUUAAGCAAAUAAACUGCAGGUUACAAAGCAAACUUAAACAUUGCUAUGCAUCCUGAUGCCUCCAUAUUCCUAUCUGGGGGAGACAAAAGUGAAAUAUGAUGCAGCAUAUCAAUCUUUUUUAUAUUUAUGUGAUACUCUUGGUAAGGAAGCAUGACAGAUGUUUUUUUUUGUUACAAUUGUGUGUUUAUUGGGAGAGAGGUAGAGCGUGAAACCUCAGAUAUGUCAUUUUCCUCACAUCUCAUAUUCAUGAGAAAAGAAAGAAGGCAGGAAGAAGGAAAUAUAUACAACUGAAAAUGCUUACUUGAUGUAUUUUGCCAAAAUUUAUAGAAGUUUCUGGGUUUUGCUUUUUCAUUCCAAGGUCUUGGACUUACACUUCUCUGGUGGAGGAGGGGGAACAGUAUUUAACUAUGCCGCUCAUGCCAGGCCUUCAAAAUUCAUAAGUCAAGCGCCUAAAAUCAAGGCAUUUCUUCAAGAAUCAUGAGGUGCUGGGAAAAAAAGUGCUGAUAUAUUUUUAUUUGCCAUUUGGUUCUGAAGAUUUCCUAUUUCUCAGCAGAAGUAUCUUACAGGAAAAGACUUUUUUUUUUCCUAACAAAUGAUGUUUUGGUGCAUUCACAGGACUACAGCCAAUUAACCUUUUGAGAAAUAUAUCAAAUACAACUACCACAAAACUAAAAUCACUAGAUUAGCCAGAAUUUCUUUGUAAACUGUAUUAUUAUUGUUCAUUAAAUCUUCCUGUUCUUGCACUGAAUUUUAACUUUGAAAAUAGUAAUCACGGUUCCCAU
rnacentral:lncRNA from 1 species